AUUGAACGCUGGCGGCAUGCUUUACACAUGCAAGUCGAACGGUAACAGGUUAAGCUGACGAGUGGCGAACGGGUGAGUAAUGCAUCGGAACGUGCCCGAUCGUGGGGGAUAACGCAGCGAAAGCUGCGCUAAUACCGCAUACGAUCUGAGGAUGAAAGCGGGGGACCGUAAGGCCUCGCGCGAUCGGAGCGGCCGAUGUCAGAUUAGGUAGUUGGUGGGGUAAAGGCUCACCAAGCCAACGAUCUGUAGCUGGUCUGAGAGGACGACCAGCCAAACUGGGACUGAGACACGGCCCAGACUCCUACGGGAGGCAGCAGUGGGGAAUUUUGGACAAUGGGCGAAAGCCUGAUCCAGCCAUGCCGCGUGCAGGAUGAAGGCCUUCGGGUUGUAAACUGCUUUUGUACGGAACGAAAAGGUUUGGGCUAAUAAGCUGAGCUCAUGACGGUACCGUAAGAAUAAGCACCGGCUAACUACGUGCCAGCAGCCGCCGUAA
rnacentral:rRNA from 1 species